UUAUUUUUAAGAAAAAUUUCCUCCCUAGUAUCUUCACUACCAUGUUCUAAUAAACUAUAAAAAUA
rnacentral:tRNA from 1 species